rnacentral:tRNA from 1 species
UGCCCCGAUGGUGUAGUUUGGAUAACACAUGGGACUGCGGAUCCCAUUCCCCGGGUUCAAAUCCCGGUCGGGGCAU